rnacentral:rRNA from 1 species
AUUGAACGCUGGCGGCAUGCCUUACACAUGCAAGUCGAACGGCAGCACGGGAGCAAUCCUGGUGGCGAGUGGCGAACGGGUGAGUAAUACAUCGGAACGUGCCCAGUAGUGGGGGAUAGCCCGCCGAAAGCCGGAUUAAUACCGCAUACGACCUACGGGUGAAAGCGGGGGACCGUAAGGCCUCGCGCUAUUGGAGCGGCCGAUGUCAGAUUAGCUAGUUGGUGGGGUAAAGGCCUACCAAGGCGACGAUCUGUAGCUGGUCUGAGAGGACGACCAGCCACACUGGGACUGAGACACGGCCCAGACUCCUACGGGAGGCAGCAGUGGGGAAUUUUGGACAAUGGGCGCAAGCCUGAUCCAGCCAUGCCGCGUGCGGGAAGAAGGCCUUCGGGUUGUAAACCGCUUUUGUCAGGGAAGAAAAGUUCUGGGUUAAUACCUCGGAGCGAUGACGGUACCUGAAGAAUAAGCACCGGCUAACUACGUGCCAGCCGCCGCGGUAACAC